rnacentral:ribozyme from 11 species
UUUCUUUUUUUCUUUCUUUCUUUCUUUCAAACUCUACAAUUUUGUGCUGGGUGUCUCACAGACGACGGCCGUUACACAAAUAAAAAUUGCGUUCAAAGAUUUUGAACGGAGCAACCUUUCUUCCCCCCUCUCCUGGGUGUCACAUUGACGAAUGAAAAAGGGGGAUAGAAGAAG